AGAAUUUGAUCUUGGUUCAGAUUGAAUGCUGACGGCGUGGAUGAGGCAUGCAAGUCGAACGAAGUUUCACCUCGGUGAAACUUAGUGGCGAAAGGGUUAGUAAUACAUGAGUAACCUGCCUUUAACUUGGGAAUAACGGUUGGAAACGACCGCUAAUACCCGAUGUGGUGCUUGGAGUCAUCUCCAAGCAUUAAAGUAGGGGACCUUCGGGCCUUACGGUAAAAGAGGGGCUCAUGCGAUAUCAGCUUGUUGGUGUGGUAACGGCGCACCAAGGCUAAGACGUCUAGGCGAGUUGAGAGAUUGACCGCCAACACUGGGACUGAGACACUGCCCAGACUCCUACGGGAGGCUGCAGUCGAGAAUCAUUCACAAUGGGCGAAAGCCUGAUGAUGCGACGCCGUGUGAACGAAGAAGGCCCUCGGGUUGUAAAGUUCUUUCGCCUGGGAAUAAGAGAAGGGUGCUAAUACCACCCUAAUUUGAAGGUACCAGGUAAAGAAGCACCGGCUAACUCCGUGCCAGCAGCUGCGGUAAUACGGAGGGUGCAAGCAUUAAUCGGAAUUAUUGGGCGUAUAGGGCGUGUAGGCGGAUAUGGAAGUCAGAUGUGAAAUCCCGAAGCUCAACUUCGGAACUGCAUUUGAAACUCCAUACCUUGAGGAUAGGCGGAGAAGACAGAAUUCCACAAGUAGCGGUGAAAUGCGUAGAUAUGUGGAAGAAUACCGGUGGCGAAGGCGGUUUUCUAGCUUAUUCCUGACGCUGAGGCGCGAAAGCAAGGGGAGCAAACAGGAUUAGAUACCCUGGUAGUCCUUGCCGUAAACGAUGUAUACUUGGUGUAGCCGGUUUCAACCCCGGCUGUGCCGUAGCUAACGUGUUAAGUAUACCGCCUGGGGAGUACAGUCGCAAGGCUGAAACCCAAAAGAAUUGACGGGGACCCGCACAAGCAGUGGAGCAUGUGGUUUAAUUCGAUGCAACGCGAAGAACCUUACCUAGGCUUGACAUGCAGAUACGUAUGCAGAAAUGUAUAUUCCUUUCGGGGCUUCUGUGCAGGUGCUGCAUGGCUGUCGUCAGCUCGUGCCGUGAGGUGUUGGGUUAAGUCCCGCAACGAGCGCAACCCUUAUCAUUAGUUGCCAACAGUUCGGCUGGGGACUCUAAUGAGACUGCCUGGGUUAACCAGGAGGAAGGUGAGGAUGACGUCAAGUCAGCAUGGCCCUUAUGCCUAGGGCUACACACGUGCUACAAUGGCCGCAACAGAAGGUA
rnacentral:rRNA from 1 species